AAUAGCAUUUUGGAUGCAGCUAGUGGCCUGGCGGGGUCAAUUACUCUCUUGCACUGUUUUAAUCGAAAAUAACCUUCGAUUUGUCAUGCAAAACCACGUCGUGUAGUUAUUAGGGAAAAUUGAAUAAGCAUUUUGGUUGCACCUAGAAACCUUGUGAGAUCACUGAGGUUUGAACGAAUUCUUAAUCUAAGCUGAUCGACUUAUUCUUACUU